GGCGGUCGGAAAGACAGGGAAGAGUGGCGUAUAGUUUAAUUGUUUUGACUUCAAUUGUUCCAGUGGCUUUGUCAUAAGGUCAGAAUGUAGGUUGGGAAUAAUUAAAAGGUUUGCAGUCGGAUAAAUGACUGUAAAUGGCAUACAUAUUUAUGCUGGCGAUGGACUCCAAAACCAUGUACAUGUAAUAGAAAUUACUUUAAGCCAAUGGCGUACUAUCUAGCUGACGGAAGUGCGCGCUCUACAUGUGCGCACCUCGUGGCCGCCAUUUACAAAUGUUUGCCAUCGCAACAGAACAGCUUCUCAGGUUUAAACAUGUACAGUGUUCUUUCCAAAGUUGUUGGACUUCUGUUUAAAAUGGUUAUAGCUGAGGAGAAAACAGAUGAAAACUUAAGCAACAGCUGUGUUAAGGUAGAUCGUCAGAGCAACGAAAGUAAUUUUUCUGGAAACCUCGAUCAAGAUGAUGUAUUACUUACUGCUUUGGUUGACAAAGAGGAGAAAGAUUCAGACUGUCAAAUGACCAUAUUCACAGGAAAAAUCACACAGCUGUUUUGUGAACAUGGGCUUAUCGAUGGUGAAGUUUACUUUUCAGCAGAAUCUGUCGUUGGAAGUAACCCUCUUCAUGUUGGUGAUACAGUCAAUGUUGUUGCUAGACAACAAAAUAAAGAUGGGGGCUGGAUGGCAGAGUCAGUGUCCCUUGUGGUUUCUUCUUGGGAGGAUGAUGAUUUAACAUCUGAAGCUGUGACUGGUGAAGUAGGAAAGGUUACAGAGCUUAAGGAGGAAGAAGGUAUUAUCAACAAGAACAUUAUUUUCACUAUCGGUGAAUGUGUUGAGGGCUACUUGCCACAUGUUGGGGACUGGGUGUCUGUUGAACUAGACACAGCAGACUCUGAUACCAGUGGAGCUCAGGAAGAGAAGGAAGACUUUACCACUCACCUGAAAGAACCUUUAUUUAAUGCCUCAAAAGUGGCUCCUUUAAGGACAUGGUCAUUUAAAGGGUGCGUGUCUGCAUCUUUGCCAGACCAUGGCUACAUUGAUGAAGAGGUUUUUUUCAGGUUAGAUGCUUGCCUUAAUGGAUACAGGCCUCGUAAGUGGGACCGUGUGAAAGUAAUCGCUAUUGAGAGCCAGCAAGGAAAAUGCAGUUGGCGGGCAGUCACUAUUAGUCCUCUGUCAAGUGACUCUGGAGUCUAUAGGUCAAAAUACAUAAAACAGUCUCAAAGCAAAGGAAGAGGAUGGAUCAUUCCUGGUCAAAGACCCCAAAAUCUGUUAAGACCACACAAAAUGACUAUUCCCAACAAACUGCCACAAUACCCAGUGCCAGAAAAACUACGAGAAUGUGUCCUUGAUCAGUUGGAGUUGACUUCCUAUGCACCAUAUCUGGCUGAAAAACUCAGGAGAGAUAACUACAUUGAGAGAAUGAGCACCUUGCUACAUCUGGAGGAGAUUCAGAUGGAGAUUAAUAUUCUCGAGUUUGACCUCUACAGGGUAUGCCUGCAAGCUGCUGGAGAGUUCUUGACACUGCAUGUGCCUGGUCUUGCAGAGGGUCGGCCAUCUUUGUUAAUUGGGGAUUCUGUUAUUCUGUUGAGUCCUGUUGAUCCUGAUGAGCCACAGUAUGAAGGAAUCAUUCAUGAGAUUUACAGUGAUAAAGUUCUGCUGAAGUUUAAUUCAGAGUUCCACUCCUGUUAUAAUGGAGAAGAUUACAAUGUUACAUUCAGAUUCAACAGGGUGUCUCUAAGGCGUUGUCAUCAAGCAUGUCGCUUAGCUGCUACAAUGCUUGGUGAUCAAGUUUUGUUUCCUUCACAAGAAAAGUUAAACCCACCACAAGUUGAGCUUUUCUCCAGUCCACACACAGCAUCCACUCCUUUGAACUCAAAUCACCAUAUUCCACAUAUCAAUCCUGCCAUCCAGGACAAAAUACAGUUUUACAAUUCUCUUUUAAAUGAUCAACAAAAAACAGCUGUGAUUCAGGUUCUGCUUGGACAGUGUCGUCCUCUUCCAUAUAUUAUUUUUGGACCACCAGGAACAGGUAAAACAAUAACUGUGGUUGAGGCAAUUCUUCAGAUUUUUACGCAUAUGCCAAGGAGUCGCAUCAUUGCCUGCACACCUUCAAACAGCGCUGCAGAUCUUUUAGUUGAACGACUUCAUAUGAGUGGAAUUAUCAAGAACUCAGACAUGGUCCGACUCAAUGCUUUUCAAAGAUCCAAUACUGGGAUAUCGGACAUAGUGCUACCAUACUGCUGCACUGGAGAACAACUGGACAUCAUCUCUCACUAUCGCAUCAUUGUUGCCACAUGCAAUACUGCUGGCCUCCUGUGUACUGCUGGACUUAAAACUGGUCACUUCACACAUGUUUUUGUUGAUGAGGCAGGCCAGGCUACGGAGCCUGAAUGCCUCAUUCCUGCUGGAUUGGUUGCUGGUGGUGGUGGACAGAUUGUCCUAGCAGGAGACCCCAAACAGCUAGGACCAGUCCUUUUGUCACCAUUUGCCAAAGUAUAUGGACUAGAACUUUCAUUCUUAGAGCGCCUAAUGGAGCACUUGCCAUAUCAACACAAUGCAGAGCUGUAUGCUGACCAUGGAGGCUACAACCCAUUACUGGUGACAAUGCUGAUUGACAAUUAUCGAUGCCACCCAGCCAUUCUAGCAUUGCCCUCCAAGUUGUUCUACCAUGGUUACUUGCGAGAGUGUGCGUCAGCAGAACUCACAGAUACCCUCAAGGAUUGGUUCAUGUUGCCUAGACCUGGAGUACCAGUUAUCUUCCAUGGCAUAGAGACCAAAGAUAUGCGUGAUGAGGACAGUCCAUCAUGGUUUAACCCUGGAGAAGUUUUACAAGUGAUACAGUACUUGCAAGGUCUCCUAGGAAACAAGGCACCACUUCAUCCAGAUAAUAUUGGCAUCAUUACACCUUACAGAAAGUGGAGAAGAUUCGCUUAUAUAUGGACAUACUUGGCAUUACUCAAGUGAAAGUUGGAUCCGUGGAAGAAUUUCAAGGCCAGGAGAGACAAGCAAUAAUUGUGUCAACAGUGAGAUCGAAUGACCGACUAGUAAAUUCAGAUGUUCGGCAUGUCUUGGGGUUUGUGAGCAACCCAAAGCGCUUUAAUGUGGCCAUCACCCGAGCCCAGGCCUUGUUGAUUGUUGUUGGAAACCCAUAUGUUCUUUCACUG
rnacentral:misc_RNA from 1 species